GAAUUCUUCAGUUGGAACAGACAACCAAUGGCAUGGAACCUUCACCAUCAUGUCUACAAUCUGACAGUGGAAACGAAUGUUGAGCUGUGGUCUACAUGGUCACAUGGACUUAAGAGUACCCCUCACAUAGGGCACUCUUUCUGGAGUGGAGGAUAUAAUCUCCAAGGAAAGCAUGUCAUUGGCAAAGGGAGAAGUUUUGAACACUCAUUUUCUCCUGAGAUACUUCAAGCUAGUCAAUUUGUUCAUAGUUUCCAGAAGUCUACAGUCUUCACUGGUGGCUGCCAGUUCGCUUAUCAGGUUGAGAACCUCAGGUACAAUGUAGCACCAAUAGUUGGGAUGAGAACUGAUCUGCAGACCUGAAGCGAGAUACAGACUGCUAAGAAGCUCCUGAAAGAACCAUAGUGCCUACUAUUUCUGGCUCCUGGGGCCUCAGCUGACUGCAAAAAUAUCCUUCAAUAAAUCUCACUAAGAUGCACA
rnacentral:lncRNA from 1 species